UUUUUGUUGCAUUCUUGUCGGCGGAAAAGCAGGUCGGCAAACUAUAUUUUACACAAAAUCGUAGAAGGGAAACUUACAGUACAAUAUGCUGAGCUGAAUAUUGCAAUCGAAUUCACAUUGGUUUGAGCAUGAUUCCCAGCCAGAUUAUGAAGCCGGCAUAUACAUGAUAAAGGAAAUAUAUAUAGAUGUCACUAAGUAACUCUCAUAGCUGCUAAUUGUGAAACAGUG